GCCCAAGAGAUCGGGAUAACACCUGGAAACAGAUGCUAAUACCGGAUAACAACAGAUGAUGCCUAUCAACUGUUUAAAAGAUGGUUCUGCUAUCACUCUUGGAUGGACCUGCGGUGCAUUAGCUAGUUGGUAGGGUAACGGCCUACAAAGGCGAUGAUGCAUAGCCGAGUUGAGAGACUGAUCGGCCACAUUGGGACUGAGACACGGCCCAAACUCCUACGGGAGGCAGCAGCG
rnacentral:rRNA from 1 species